ACGCGACUUCCUGCGGGAAACAUGGCGGCAGUGAGCGGAGUCCGCUGGCUGACCCGAGCGCUGGUCUCCGCCGGGAACCCUGGGGCAUGGAGAGGUCUGAGUACCUCGGCCGCGGCGCACGCUGCAUCGCGGAGCCAGGCCGAGGACGUGAGGGUGGAGGGCUCCUUUCCCGUGACCAUGCUUCCGGGAGACGGUGUGGGGCCUGAGCUGAUGCACGCCGUCAAGGAGGUGUUCAAGGCUGCCGCUGUCCCAGUGGAGUUCCAGGAGCACCACCUGAGUGAGGUGCAGAAUAUGGCAUCUGAGGAGAAGCUGGAGCAGGUGCUGAGUUCCAUGAAGGAGAACAAAGUGGCCAUCAUUGGAAAGAUUCAUACCCCGAUGGAGUAUAAGGGGGAGCUAGCCUCCUAUGAUAUGCGGCUGAGGUAGGUGGUCUGGGUGGAGUGAAUGGUUGAGAGGUGCCAGGGCACCAGGAGCAGAGCUGAUGGCCCUGCCCACCCUCAGGCGUAAGUUGGACUUAUUUGCCAACGUAGUCCAUGUGAAGUCACUUCCUGGGUAUAUGACUCGGCACAACAAUCUAGACCUGGUGAUCAUUCGAGAGCAGACAGAAGGGGAGUACAGCUCUCUGGAACAUGAGGUGAGGCCCCAGAAACUGGGGGAGGGCAAGGAUGAAGAUGGGAGAGAGAUGGAGCUCCUUGUUUCCCUUCCCAGUGUCACCUAGCUGCUGCUCUCUUCUUACCCAGAGUGCAAGGGGUGUGAUUGAGUGUUUGAAGAUUGUCACACGAGCCAAGUCUCAGCGGAUUGCAAAGUUCGCCUUUGACUAUGCCAC
rnacentral:sRNA from 1 species